AACGCGAAGAACCUUACCAGGGCUUGACAUAUAAAAGGUAGCGAGUCCAUAGAUGAACGACCCUUCGGGGAGCGUAAACAGGUGCUGCAUGGCGGUUGUCAACUUGUGCCUUGAGGUGUUAGGUUAAGUCCAGUAAUGAGCGCAACCCUCGUCCAUAGUUACAUGUCUCUAGAGAGACUGCCCGUGAUAAGGGGGAGGAAGGUGGGGAAGAAGUCAAGUCAGCAUGGCCUUUAUGUCCUGGGCUACACCCACGCUACAAUGGCCGGUACAAGGGGUAGCCAAGCCGCGAGGAGGAACCAAUCCUCCAAAGCCGGUCUCAGUUCGGAUUGUAGUCUGCAACUUCGCCUGCAUUAAGUGGAGCGCUAGUAAACGCGCGUCAGCA
rnacentral:rRNA from 1 species